rnacentral:tRNA from 1 species
GCGCCUGUAGCUCAGUGGUAUGAGCGUCGUUCUGCCAAGCCGAAGGUCGCGGGUUCGACUCCCGCCAGGCGCU